UUUUUCCAGAGUUGCCGUUUCAAAUUCACUCAAAAAGUUAGUUUAAAAUAUUUAUAGGUUUAUUAUGGAAAAGUUGGUAGAUGGGCAAAGUGAAUAGUGUGUGCUUUUUUUAAAUUUCGCUGGCAAUACGUGCUCUACUUUACCGUUUUUGAAGAUGAAAUGUUCCAUAAAAUUAAUGAGACCCUAAUGGAUUUUGUUUAAGUGGCAAACAUUCGUGAGAACUAAUGUGGGUGAAUUGAAACCGAGUUCUGGAAUGCUGCGCCAAGAGAAGCACUUACAAGCUCACACAUAUGCAUGUACAUAUGUGACCACGGGAGGUAUUGGACCGGCUCACUAAAUAUAAAACUAAAACUGCAUAGAAGCGCAUGAAGGAGAACCACAAUAAGUUAUACAAGUAGAGAAGAACGUGCAAAAAGUAAUAGCAAAUGCAAAAAUAGUUGUAAGAACAACAAAUGGUGUAAUAGUGGAUAUAAUACCAAUAAAUAAUGCAUAAAAGCAAAGGCAAGGUUGCAAACUGGUAUUGGAGUAAUGUGAAACCGUCGCGCUGUGGGAGGAGCUGGUGUGGUAUAACAGCAACAAGACCAAAUCGCUGUUGUUGUUAUUGUGCUUGUACUUGCACCUAGUUAUUUUUUUGCUGCUUGUAUAUUUGAGAUCAAGAUCAAGGUUUUUUCCCUCAGCCUCAUGCAAUACCUUGCGUCUUAUGUGCUUGGCUUGUACUGUUUUUGUGUGCUUUUUUGCACUCGCUUAACGACAACCAGUUGUUCGCGUUAGUACAAUGCAAUGCAAAGCAACAUCGAAAAAAAAAACUUCUAAACAGUGCAAGUAGCUGCAGACAACGGCAAAAUUAUAGCUGUUCAGAAAUACUUACGUCGUUUGGCCCAGCUGGGAUGUGAGAAACAAUUCCGUUCGAAGGCAAGGAUACUCUUGCAUACAUAUGUACAUACAAACGUGGAUACAUGCAUAAAUUCGAUAAGGGGCCCAAACGAUCGUUAGCAAAGCAAAUGCUGCAACUUUAAGCGACAAAUAUAAGCAAAGUGCGCAGGGAAAAAGACUGCACGAAAGAUGUUUCCUUCCCGACAAGUUUACGAAAAAAUCAAAGCCAAAGUCAGAGUCAAUGGCAGAACGAAAAGUUGAGAGUCGUUUGGCGUCAUGAUCACGCAAUGCUUUGGCGAAGCUAUUUUCGUACAAAACAUACUACCUAUGUACAUACAUACAUACAUACCAUUAUGUAUAUGGGUAUGCGAAGCAUUCAAGCCAGCCUACCAAAGUUUUUGAAAACCACGUAAAAUGUGUGUAUGCGCCAAGAAUAAAAAACGAACGCUGUUGGUUGGAAGCGAAAGGGGCAGCAGAUGAAACAAAAAUAAAGUAAUGAAAAGAAUCACGCGAAACAAAGUUUGCAACUAUUACGUCUGCUUGGCUGGGCACGUUUUGCCUGGCCGUUGACUAUGACCACAACGGCGCGGCACAAUAUGUAUGACCAGCCAAAGACAGAUAAUGUAUCUAGAGGAUAAAAGUUAUAUAUACAUACAUACAUAUGUAUGUAUGUGUUACGUAGCGCAAUUACGUGAGUGUGCGCGCAUGUGCUUAGUAGUUGAAUUUAAAAUAGUUGCCUUAAGAAUUCCAAAGCCCAUGAUUACAUUGGACUAAGUGCCAACAGAAGAGCAGCCAGUGGUAUGAGCUUGGCAGCACAAUAUAGCAUACAUAACGACGUACUUACGUACAUGCAUAAUAACUAACGUACGCGCAUAAGAACCUCAGCAUUUAAGCCAGCUGAGUUGAGGUGUUGGAACUUGACUGCACUUGAGUUGUUUGAAAAUUAAUUAUAUAGUAAAUGGCACGCAAAGUGUUAUAAUUUUGUUAUAAAGGAAGAUGCGUCUACUGCGCUCGAAAAUACUGACGAAAAUUUCAAAGAUAUGCGAUUUUUUGUUGAAAGAAAUUUAAAAAUUUGCUACCAUAUAAAUUAUGGCAUAUUAAAUAUGGCCAUAAAUUAAAGUAUUGUUGGCUGCAGCAUUCUAAUUUGACAUAUCCAUGCUAUGGCAGCAAUCUAACAGGGGCUGUACGUUGACUGGCUGUUUGUUGGGUGCUGUGACAC
rnacentral:lncRNA from 1 species